rnacentral:lncRNA from 1 species
UUUAAUCAAUAAAGUUAAAAAUGCUGACGAAUUUAAUAAACUUUUUGACUCUAUUGUAAAUUAUCUUAUUAUAAAAGAGAACUUGACAAAAAAAGUUUCAACAGGUUGGGCAAUAGCCCUUAAACAUGUUUUCCCGAGGAACAAUCGGUACUAAAUUACCCGAUCCUUCAUUACUCACAUUGCUUUGCAUCUCCUCACUUUGUACUUUCUUCUGCAUCCCAAAAAAUUACAAUUAAUGGUUAACUUUCUUUGUCCUCAAACUAUAAGUUUAAAUCGAGUAGAAUAAUAAAAAUUGUGCAUUCUUUUGUGAGGUUCAAAUCACAGCAUUCUGCUUUACCUUUGCGAGUAAACAAAGUUUGACCCACUCUAAGUUUCGAUGUAUUUUAACAUAGUCAGUUUAAGACAUUGGAGUAAAAUAAAUUUAAGAUAUUCAGUUUUCAUGAAUAUUGACUGCAUUGGAACAUGAAGAUAAAGUGAUAAGAUAUGAGAAUCAACUGAUUUUUGACAUUCAAACUUAACUUGGAAUGUGUAAAGGCUCUAUUAAAUAGAGGAUGGAAUUUUUUUUUAUUUGUAGUUGUAUUUGAAACUACAGAGAAAAUGCAGAAAAAGAAUUUAGAAGGAACCUUAUGAAAAGUGUGAAUAGAAUCUUUCGGAUCGACAUAACAAAAUUUAAAAAAUGCAGAAAAUAAGAAAACCAGAACACAUUGCAAUUACUUACUCAUUUUCAAUAGAAUGGUGAAAAAUCCAGCUUAUAAUCUGUUGCAAUCCACAUAACUGAACAAGCAAGAGAAAGAGAAAAAGAAAAAAGAAUUAUAACCAAAAUAGUAACGACUUUAGAGCUCAGAAUAUUUAUGCUUAACAAAUGAAAAAAUCAAAGGUUUCGCUUCUGAUUACCCGAUUCUCUGAAGAUUUCCAAAACAUGAGAUCUUUGUCAAUACUCUAUGAGAAUAUGUCGUCUUGUAUGACAACUGACUGUAUAGUACUGGAGAAAAUUAUAUGAAUAGCAUCAAAUAUGGAGAUUGAGGAAAUGAAAUUCAAUUAUGUGAAAAUUCAUAUUUAUACAGACAAAAAAAAAAUUGAAAGUUAGUGAUUCCUACUUGGAAAAAUCUUCAAGAAGUGUAAUAUGUUCUGCAUCUGCUAUGAGAACCAACAGUUUGGUUGCUUCAUGUCUAACAGUUGGAU